AAUCAACGCUGGCGGCGCGCUUAACACAUGCAAGUCGCACGAGAAAGGGAGCAAUCCUGAGUAAAGUGGCGUACGGGUGAGUAACACGUGGGAGUCUACCUCUUGGCGGGGAAUAACCCUGGGAAACCGGGGCUAAUACCGCAUAAGCUCGUGAGAGGAAAGCAGCAAUGCACCGAGAGAGGAGCCCGCGGCCGAUUAGCUAGUUGGUGGGGUAAUGGCUCACCAAGGCGAAGAUCGGUAGCCGGCCUGAGAGGGCACACGGCCACACUGGCACUGAAACACGGGCCAGACUCCUACGGGAGGCAGCAGUGGGGAAUCUUGCACAAUGGGGGAAACCCUGAUGCAGCGACGCCGCGUGAGCGAUGAAGCCCUUCGGGGUGUAAAGCUCUUUCGACAGGAACGAUAAUGACGGUACCUGGAGAAGAAGCUGCGGCUAACUACGUG
rnacentral:rRNA from 1 species